UCGAAACCCCACAAGGUUCCUUUGAUCUUGAGAAACCAACAUGCUUGAUACUUUAUGACUUUGUUCAUAAAGAGUUGGGAGUAUCAGCCCACCAUUUUAAUCCGUUUGGAGGUGUCUAAGUACAACAUGAGCCGUAUGCGGAUGGCGUCUAUGAUUGUUGUGCAAAGUUCGCGCACGUUAACGCGUGUGCUGAGCUUCAGACUUGAUGAGCACUGCAUGAGUGCCGCCUCUAUGUUUGUACUGGUGGUUAGGCAUUAGGCUGUCGCCAGCCUUCUGCAACACCUGCUAGUCAGGAAAUCUUAAUGAUUCGCACAGCGAGCGCCAGUACAAAUAACAACAUUUUACAUUGUAACGUUUGAAGAAUCGUGACACUAUAUGUGUAUGUGUCACAAUCGACUAGCUUCAGCGAUGGAUCGGUCGAUUCGCGUAUCGAUGAAAAACGCAGCUAGCUGCGUUAUUUACCACGAAUUGCAGACGCUUAGAGUGGUGAAAUUUUGAACGCAUAGCGCCGUUGGGUUUUCCCUUCGGCACGUCUGGUUCAGGGUUGUUUUCAAUAUACUACAGUGUGGCCUGUAUAACACUGUUUGUCGAAUGACGCUUGUGCUACACAGCAUGUACGUAUGCACAAUCCUCAUUCUAGAUAAGAACACAAUAUUGCAACAUGUACCUCGUGUACCCGAAUGUCAUGACCGUGUGUGUUGUCACUGUCAAAAGUAUUUAGCGAGAAAUGAAUACUUUGUCAGGGCUUGUUUGAGACAACGCCAUAUGUCUAUGUCAUUUGUAA
rnacentral:rRNA from 1 species